CAUGUAGGCGGAUUGAUAAGUUUGAAGUGAAAUCCUAUAGCUUAACUAUAGAACUGCUUUGAAAACUGUUAAUCUAGAAUGUGGGAGAGGUAGAUGGAAUUUCUGGUGUAGGGGUAAAAUCCGUAGAGAUCAGAAGGAAUACCGAUUGCGAAGGCGAUCUACUGGAACACUAUUGACGCUGAGAUGCGAAAGCGUGGGGAGCAAACG
rnacentral:rRNA from 1 species